rnacentral:rRNA from 1 species
AUGCGCGGCAAAAAGAGGGCAUUGUCGCCGCCGGCCGCCGCCGUCGAUGCCACGGCAAGGCUCCAGGACCGGCACCUCGCCGAGAUCCUCCUGCGGCUCCCCUCCCCCGCUAGCCUCGCGCGCGCCGCCGUCGUCUGCCGGCGUUGGCGCCGAAUCUCCGUCUCCGCGGCUUUCCUUCGCCAGUUCCGCCGCCUCCACCCGCCCCAACUCGUCGGCUUCUUUAUCUGCAACGGCGGUUUCCAUGUGGAGAGGGUCGGCGGCCGCCUCGUCGGCCACAUACUCGACCCCACCUUCCUCCCGGUGCUCCCGCCGCCUCAGGGCGUCGGAAGGGCCACCCAGCGCUGCAUCGACUUCUCCCUCCGUCGCGUCCCCGACGUGGACCACUGGACCCUCGCUGACGCCCGCGACGGCCUUCUCCUCCUCAGCUCCACCUUCAACGAUCGCAUGAGCAUCCCGCGCAACUUCGUCGUCUGUGAUCCCUUGUCCCGCCGCUCUUUCCUCGUGGAGCACGCGCCGACGUAUCAGCUCGACGGCGAAAGCGCCUACCUCGGCGCCGCUCUGAUCGUCGUGGACGGCGGAGCCAGCUCAAGUACCCUCUCCUUCGAGGUGAUCCUCGUGACCUACUUCAUGUUUGGGCCGCGCCUCUGCGUCUUCUCCUCGCGCACGGCGCAAUGGAGCGUUCAUCCCGAAGCCAGGUGCGGCAAGUCCCUGAUGCCGAUGCUGAGCGGGGUGGGCGACCCCGCGCACGCCAAUGGCUGCGUGUACUGGGUAAUGGACGACGAGAGCGAGGCGUACCUCCUGGUGCUCGACACGCGCACAAAGGAGUUCUCCACCACCAUCAAGCUGCUCGCCAGCAUGCGGGAGCAGUACGACGGGAACAUGAGAGUCAUGAGGAGCGAGGACGGGGAGCUCCGGAUCGUGGGCAUGGCUUGGAGGGCGCUCGCGCUCCAUAUCUGGCAUCUCGAUAGGUGCAGGAGCAGGAAAGGCCGAUGGGUGAGGGAAGAGGUCCAUGAAUUGGCCACGUUCCAGGGUGUAAUUGAGCUUUUUGUGGACGGCAAUGGCGGCAGUACUAGGAUCAUGGAUGCCUGCGAGGGGGUUGUUUUCCUCAAGCAGUUUGGCUCUGACUGGGUGUAUGCUGUGAGUCUGGAGGACAGGAGGGUGGUGAAGCUGCCGCACAAGAGGUUCUCCUCUGGACCUGCACUUCCUUAA